rnacentral:rRNA from 1 species
UACGUAGGGGGCUAGCGUUAUCCGGAAUUACUGGGCGUAAAGGGUGCGUAGGUGGUUUCUUAAGUCAGAGGUGAAAGGCUACGGCUCAACCGUAGUAAGCCUUUGAAACUGGGGAACUUGAGUGCAGGAGAGGAGAGUGGAAUUCCUAGUGUAGCGGUGAAAUGCGUAGAUAUUAGGAGGAAAACCAGUUGCGAAGGCGGCUCUCUGGACUGUAACUGACACUGAGGCACGAAAGCGUGGGGAGCAAACAGG